CAGGGAUUGCCUCAGUAACGGCGAGUGAAGCGGCAACAGCUCAAAUUUGAAAUCUGGCCCCGUCGGGGUCCGAGUUGUAAUUUGUAGAGGGUGUUUCGGGCGCGAUGCCGGUCUAAGUUCCUUGGAACAGGACGUCGCAGAGGGUGAGAAUCCCGUACGCGGCCGGCGAUCAAGCCCAUGUGAAGCCCCUUCGACGAGUCGAGUUGUUUGGGAAUGCAGCUCAAAAUGGGUGGUAAAUUUCAUCUAAAGCUAAAUAUUGGCCAGAGACCGAUAGCGGACAAGUAGAGUGAUCGAAAGAUGAAAAGCACUUUGGAAAGAGAGUCAAACAGCACGUGAAAUUGUUGAAAGGGAAGCGCUUGCAAUCAGACCGGCCCGGAGGCGAUCAGCCGCUGCUCGUUCAGCGGUGCACUCGCCUGCGCUCCGGCCAGCAUCGGUUUGGGCGGUGGGAUAAAAGUCCCGGGAAUGUAGCUUCUUUCGGGGAGUCUUAUAGCCCGGGUCGCAAUGCCGCCUGCCCGGACCGAGGACCGCGCUUCGGCUAGGAUGCUGGCGUAAUGGUUGCAAGCGACCCGUCUUGAAACACGGACCAAGGAGUCUAACAUCUAUGCGAGUGUUUGGGUGUCAAACCCGGGCGCGGAAUGAAAGUGAACGGAGGUGGGAACCCGUCAGACGGCGCACCAUCGACCGAUCCAGAUGUCUUCGGAUGGAUUUGAGUAUGAGCAUAGCUGUUGGGACCCGAAAGAUGGUGAACUAUGCCCGGAUAGGGUGAAGCCAGAGGAAACUCUGGUGGAGGCUCGCAGCGGUUCUGACGUGCAAAUCGAUCGUCAAAUCUAGGCAUAGGGG
rnacentral:rRNA from 1 species